rnacentral:ncRNA from 1 species
GGUUAUUGAUCCAGUGCCAGUAGUGGAGAGAACAGGCGGACCGUAAAGACGCCGUAAAUCCUUCCCUGGAGGCUCGAACCGCACCUUCCCUGGCGUGGACGCUUU